rnacentral:rRNA from 1 species
GACGGAGGGUGCAAGCGUUGUUCGGAAUUACUGGGCGUAAAGCGUACGUAGGUGGCGGGUUAAGUCGAAUGUUAAAGCCUGGGGCUCAACCCCAGAGAUGCACUCGAUACUGGCUUGCUAGAGGGUGAUAGAGGAAAGCGGAAUUCCCAGUGUAGCGGUGAAAUGCGUAGAUAUUGGGAGGAACAUCAGUAGCGAAGGCGCUUUCUGGGUCACACCUGACACUGAGGUACGAAAGCGUGGGGAGCGAACAGG